rnacentral:rRNA from 2 species
AACUUUCAACAACGGAUCUCUUGGUUCUGGCAUCGAUGAAGAACGCAGCGAAAUGCGAUAAGUAAUGUGAAUUGCAGAAUUCAGUGAAUCAUCGAAUCUUUGAACGCACAUUGCGCCCGUUAGUAUUCUAGCGGGCAUGCCUGUUCGAGCGUCAU